rnacentral:tRNA from 1 species
CCAAACAUGACGGCUAACUCCGUCCUUUGCGA